UAGAAUUGACGGGGAGCACCACAACGGGUGGAGCUUGCGUUAAUUGGAUUCAACGCCGGAAAUCUUACCGGGACCGACAGCAAUAUGAAGGCCAGGCUGAAGACUUUGCCGGAUUAGCUGAGAGGUGGUGCAUGGCCGUCGUCAGUUCGUACUGUGAAGCAUCCUGUUAAGUCAGGCAACGAGCGAGACCCACGCCAACAGUUGCCAGCAUGUCCUCCGGGAUGAUGGGGACACUGUUGGGACCGCCUCUGCUAAAGAGGAGGAAGGAAUGGGCAACGGUAGGUCAGCAUGCCCCGAAUUAUCCGGGCUACACGCGGGCUACAAUGGUCAGGACAAUGGGUAUCGACACCGAGAGGUGGAGGCAAUCUCCUAAACCUGUCCUUAGUUCGGAUUGUGGGCUGCAACUCGCCCACAUGAAGCUGGAAUCCGUAGUAGUCGCGUUUCAAAAUAGCGCGGUGAAUAUGUCCCUGCUCCUU
rnacentral:rRNA from 1 species